GCACUGGCUUUGAACCGGCGGUCUGCCUGUCUGUGGUGCCAUCGGCCAGGCUCCAGUGCCAUAGUGACGGCUUGUUAUAACUGGCGCUGCUUGGCUCCGCCCAUGUUGCGCUUUUAGAACAAAGCUACAAGU